CCCCUCUCAGGAUUGCACCUGGAGUGUUUCCAGAACUCUACCAGUCUCGGUUAUGGGAGGGAGAGUCAAGAAGAGGCAUAUCCAUUCUAUUCCUAGCUUGGGCAGGGGCUAAUGAGUGGAAGGCAAUCUGCUACAAAU
rnacentral:snoRNA from 1 species